rnacentral:rRNA from 1 species
AGCGAACGCUGGCGGCAGGCCUAACACAUGCAAGUCGAACGAUCCUUCGGGAUAGUGGCGGACGGGUGAGUAACACGUGGGAAUAUGCCUUUUGGUUUGGGAUAACUGAGGGAAACUUCAGCUAAUACCGGAUAAGCCCUAUGGGGGAAAGAUUUAUCGCCGAAAGAGUAGCCCGCGUUGGAUUAGCUAGUUGGUGGGGUAAUGGCCCACCAAGGCUACGAUCCAUAGCUGGUCUGAGAGGAUGAUCAGCCACACUGGGACUGAGACACGGCCCAGACUCCUACGGGAGGCAGCAGUGGGGAAUUUUGCACAAUGGGCGAAAGCCUGAUGCAGCAACGCCGCGUGUGUGAUGAAGGUCUUCGGAUCGU